UGUAUAAAUGCAGCUUCAGCCGACAUAGAAAAACGAGUAAAAUAAGACUCAUAGUAAAGAGAGGUACUUUUUCCAAAAGGGUUUUUUGACUGACCACGCGUGACUACUGUCAAACUAAAUAGAUAAUUUUUUCAGUAUUCGUUGACAUUUCAUCAUGGAAAGACUUACGCCUCCACAACAUUUACAAAUUGUUCAAUUCUAGUGCAAAUAUCCACGCUCGGUGAAAAGUGUUCAUCACCCGCUCAGGUCAACUUAUGGUGUACAUAACCGUCCUACUGAACACACUAUUCGGCAAACUAACAGAAAAAUUGAGAACAACUUUACAAUAUUGGAUGAUAUUCGACCAAUUAGACUACGUACAGCGCCAAGUAAAGAGAAUAUUGCGGCUCUAAAUGAGACUUUUGCCGAAGAAUCGAUUCGCCGAUCUCAACAACUUGGCCUAUCUUAUGGCACUACUUGGGCGAUUUUACGCAAAGAUCUUGAUUUGAAAGCGUAUAAAAUACAACUAGUCCAAGUUUUGAAGCCGGCCGAUCUUCUAAGCCGUCAUAAUUUCAGUCGUUGGGCUCUUGAAAAACUCGCCGAAGGUCCGCAUUUUUGAACCCGAAUUAUGUUCAGCGGUGAGGCCCAUUUUCGGUUUAAUGGGUACGUCACUAAGCAACAUUGUCAUACUUGGGAUGAAGAGCAAGCAAUACGAGACUGGCGCCAAUUUAACAGUAAAUUGCGACUGGUGCUGUAGUAUCCCAAUCAUUCAACCCAAUUUCGCAACAUUUUUCUAUUGACCUGCACAAGUUGGUCACUGUACUUAAAGUCGUUUUAAGACAUCGUCGAGAAAAAUUUGCGCUUCCUUAUGUAGUAGUUCAAUAUGCACUUAAUUCUCGCCAGUAAAGCAACAGGUGAAUUCAUUUCAAAACGUGAGAGCAGUCGCAAAAAGGGGCACAGAAACGUUUUUGGUAGCGCAUGGCACACAUAUGGUUGAAGAUGCUGCCAAUGCUGCUUGAGAGUUACAUCUACAUACAUAAAUAGCUACUGUCUGGAAGGAAUAAAAACGGACCUUGUGAGCACAUUUUUGUACAUCCUCAUGUGUUUGUUGUAAAUACCAAAGUAUAGUGAAUUAAUACAUACUUCAAGUAAAAAAUAUCUCAAGUGCAGUGACAGCAGGCGUCGAAAAGCAAUUGAUAAACAUGUGGAAAGUACGCUGUUAAUAAAGAAGAGAAAUAAGGCCGGAGAUUUAAGCAACGAUUGUUGUUGCAAUAAAAGUCAUUUAAUGCGCACAAAAAACUUGCAGACUUGUUUAAAUAAAGCGUCAAGUUGUAAAAAAGCAUUGACAUUGAAUGAGCUCAAAAUAUUGUGACUGGCCGGUAACUUUGUAAAACAAUACACAUACAUACAUAUACACACCUUGUAAUAUAGUAUGUGCACAAAUUUGCACAAGCAUUUAGUAUGCACCCUGUAGAGAAAAACCUGAGCUAAAUUUAUUCCUCCCUAAUACCAUUUCGCCGAUUGCGAAGCACUCGCUAUAUGUUUAUAUGUCUUUAGAGUUUAGCCAAAGACCGUACUAUACGUUUACUUAAAUACACGAAAAUGCAAUAGCGGAUUAAAUUUAUAGUUCAUUAUUCAUUCAAAUAUGAUACUGGGCAGUUCCCCUAAGAUUGGUUAAAAUCUGUUUUUAUCUCUUUGCCAAAACAACCUUAGACUAAAAAUGCUAUGAGUAUCGCUUGAUCAGCUUAAUGAGUCACU